rnacentral:misc_RNA from 1 species
CUGGGAUAAAAAUGGGAGCUGCUGGGAUAAAAUUGGACGGCUCGUUCACACUUGAAGCAACCGCAAAUACCUUAAAAUCCCUCUUAGUCAAACUAAAGGGGCUCAAAAUCUUAGAAGUGUGUAGUUCAGGGAGUUUAAUGGAAACAUAGUGAAGAGUACAGGAAUUCAUGCUUUGGUAGAGUGGGCGUGAGCUGAUCUCUAGAAAUUAGCGGAGCAGCAG